rnacentral:lncRNA from 1 species
CUGAUGGGAAGUGUAUCUCAGACCUGCCAUGUUUCCACUCUCCCUCAUAGCGCCUCCUCCAAUGCAUGCUGGGUAAUCACAUUGUCUUCUCACCUGCUGACUGGCUGGGGUGGUGGAUACCCUGCUUGUCCCUCACGUAGUCCUGAUUGUGGAGAGCUCUGACCAGGGGGGAAGACUUUUAACGUGACACGCUGGACCAUGGACAGGAAGUGGAAAUGGGUGCUGAGCAGCGGUGCUUUGCUGGUGAUAUUCCUUGGUCGCAUGACCACAGCCUUAGAAGUGCCUCUUG